rnacentral:rRNA from 1 species
GACGAACGCUGGCGGCGUGCUUAACACAUGCAAGUCGAGCGGUAAGGCCCUUUUGGGGGUACACGAGCGGCGAACGGGUGAGUAACACGUGGGUGACCUGCCCUCAGCUCUGGGAUAAGCCUGGGAAACUGGGUCUAAUACUGGAUAUGACCUUUCCUCGCAUGGGGUUGGGUGGAAAGUUUUUUCGGCUGGGGAUGGGCCCGCGGCCUAUCAGCUUGUUGGUGGGGUGAUGGCCUACCAAGGCGACGACGGGUAGCCGGCCUGAGAGGGCGACCGGCCACACUGGGACUGAGACACGGCCCAGACUCCUACGGGAGGCAGCAGUGGGGAAUAUUGCGCAAUGGCGGAAGCCUGACGCAGCGACGCCGCGUGGGG